AUGCAGAGGCAGCAACCAGGAAGACGUGGCUCCUUUGAAGGUUGCCCGCUCUGCGCGAAGCAUGCUUCUGGAGGGGAAUCCCAGCUGGUGCGGUUACACAUAAAAUACACCAGAAAAGGACUCGGUGAAGGAGUCUGCCCUUUCAUGCCUCAAUUAUCCAACCUGAGAGAUGGUGAGGUGAAUCUUUACCAGCUGACCAUGACUCCAAAGUCUCCAGAGAUUCUCAAAGAAAUCCUCAGAGAAGACCGAGAUGGGGGCCAGUCUGACUCUUCCUAUGCAUCAGAAAAUCUACCUCCUCCUGAUGAUGCCUUGGGCAGGGCAGCGCCCCCAUGCUAAUGCUGGGGAUGCUGUAUAGACCAGUGAGAAGAGGAUGAGCUGUGGAGUCAGGCCUGGGUUCAAGUCCUGCUUCUGCCAUCAGCAAGCCCAGUAGCCCUGGGCAAAUAACUCAACCCCUCCACGUCCAUUUCCAGGUUUGUAAAAUGGACAAUGAUACCUGCUUCCUAGGGAACUAAACUAUGUGUGUUUUAGAGGUUGAAAUUCUCACUCUGCCACUUAUUGGCUGUUGGACCUCAGAUGAGUAACAUAGAUAUUCUGAGUCCCUUUGACUCCAUCCCUAAAGGGGGAAUCAGACAG
rnacentral:lncRNA from 1 species